AUGCACCUGACUUGAAAUCAGACGUGGGGUCAAACCCACCGGGGGUUCGAAUCCCUCACUCUCCG
rnacentral:tRNA from 1 species